rnacentral:lncRNA from 1 species
AAGUGCGAGAAGCCACUUGGGAGCUCGAGGAGUCAGUGCGGAAAGAGUAUCCGCAUCUAUUCGAAUCGACGAGUUAAGGUAUGUGUAAUUUCGCGGACGAAAUUAUUUUAAGGGGUGGAGAAUGUAAUAUACCAAAAAUUCGAAAAAUAAAUGUCGAACUUUAGUCAAAUUGACUAAAGUGCGAGGAUGGUACACUUCGGAAAGUCCGAAGGUGUUAAAAUG